rnacentral:rRNA from 11 species
UCUAUAUUUAGGUGUAUAUAGUCUGGCCUGCCCAUUGGAUUUUCUAAAAGGCCGCGGUAUCUUGACCGUGCAAAGGUAGCAUAAUAAUUAGUUCUUUAAUUGGGAUCUUGAAUGAAGGGUUAAACAAAAGAAAGACUAUCUGAAGAUAUAAAGAUUGAACUUAACUUUUGGGUGAAAAGGCUCAAAUAAACUAGGGGGACGAUAAGACCCUAUAAAGCUUAAUAUUGGUAUUAUUUUAAUUUUAAUUAAAUAUAAAGAUUUAAAUUGAUUAUUUAUUUUGUUGGGGCGACAGGGAUAUAAAUUUUGUAACUGUUUAUAAAAGAAAUCAUAUAUAAAUGAAUAGAGAUCCUUAAUAGAGAUUAAAAGAUUAAGUUACUUUAGGGAUAACAGCGUAAUUUUUUUUGAGAGUUCUUAUCGAAAAACAAGUUUGCGACCUCGAUGUUGAAUUAAAAUAUCUAUAUAGAGUAGC